GACAGGCAAUCUGGAGAGCGCCGAACUAACUGUGAGUUCAGCCACCGAAGGGGCACGCGGACAGAAUUCUACCGUAAAACUCUCAGGUAAAAGGACAGAGGGGUGAAG
rnacentral:ncRNA from 1 species